CCCUACACGACCGUACCGCAAACCGACACUGGUGCGCGAGAUGAGUAUUCUAAGGCGCUUGAGAGAACUCAGGAGAAGGAACUCGGCAAAUUGACACCGUAACUUCGGGAGAAGGUGUGCCUUUAGUAGGUGAACCUGUACAAGGGGAGCCCAAUGAGGUUGCAAAAAAUCGGUGGCUGCGACUGUUUAAUAAAAACACAGCACUCUGCAAACACGAAAGUGGACGUAUAGGGUGUGACGCCUGCCCGGUGCUGGAAGAUUAAAUGAUGGGGUGCAAGCUCUUGAUUGAAGUCCCAGUAAACGGCGGCCGUAACUAUAACGGUCCUAAGGUAGCGAAAUUCCUUGUCGGGUAAGUUCCGACCUGCACGAAUGGCGUAACGAUGGCCACACUGUCUCCUCCUGAGACUCAACGAAGUUGAAAUGUUUGUGAUGAUGCAAUCUCCCCGCGGAAAGACGGAAAGACCCCAUGAACCUUUACUGUAGCUUUGUAUUGGACUUUGAACAGAUCUGUGUAGGAUAGGUGGGAGGCUUUGAAGUGUGGUCGCUAGAUCGCAUGGAGCCAACGUUGAAAUACCACCCUGGUGUGUUUGAGGUUCUAACCUAGGCCCGUAAUCCGGGUCGGGGACAGUGCAUGGUAGGCAGGUUGACUGGGGCGGUCUCCUCCCAAAGCGUAACGGAGGAGUUCGAAGGUACGCUAGGUACGGUCGGACAUCGUGCUAAUAGUGCAAUGGCAUAAGCGUGCUUAACUGCGAGACUGACAAGUCGAGCAGAUGCGAAAGCAGGACAUAGUGAUCCGGUGGUUCUGUAUGGAAGGGCCAUCGCUCAACGGAUAAAAGGUACUCUGGGGAUAACAGGCUGAUACCGCCCAAGAGUUCAUAUCGACGGCGGUGUUUGGCACCUCGAUGUCGGCUCAUCUCAUCCUGGGGCUGUAGCCGGUCCCAAGGGUAUGGCUGUUCGCCAUUUAAAGAGGUACGUGAGCUGGGUUUAAAACGUCGUGAGACAGUUUGGUCCCUAUCUUCCGUGGGCGCUGCAGAUUUGAGGAAGCCUGCUCCUAGUACGAGAGGACCGGAGUGGACACACCUCUGGUGUAUCGGUUGUCACGCCAGUGGCAUUGCCGAGUAGCUAUGUGUGGAAGAGAUAACCGCUGAAAGCAUCUAAGCGGGAAACUCGUUUCAAGAUGAGAUCUGCCGGGGCCUUGAGCCCCCUAAAGAGUCGUUCAAGACCAGGACGUUGAUAGGUCGGGUGUGGAAGCGCAGUAAUGCGUUAAGCUAACCGAUACUAAUUGCUCGUGCGGCUUGACCA
rnacentral:rRNA from 1 species